GUCACCCAGUUGUGCCCGACUCUUAGCGACCCCAUGGACUGCAGCCCACUAGGCUCCUCCAUCCAUGGGACUUUCCAGGCAAGAGUACUAGCACCUGUUUUAUUUUUCUUCAACAACUUUUAUUAUAUACUGAUUUAUUUGUCAUCAGUCAUCCAUGGGAAUAUAAACACCUUUAACAAAGAGCUUGUCUUUUAAAAUUUUUGUUUAUUUUUAAUUGAAGGAUAAUUACAAUAUUGUGUUGGUUUCUGCCAUACAUCAACAUGGCUUAGCCAUAGGUAUACAUAUAUCCCCUCUCUCUUGAGCCUCCUUCCCACCUCACACCCAAUCCCACCCCUCUAGGUUGUCACAGAGUCUUCUUGACCACUGUAUCCUUGAGGGUCUGCAACAGAUCCUGGCCCACAGCAGGCACUCAAGAAUCAGGACAAAUUGUGGCGCAACAACCCCCAGCCCACCUGAGACAUCUGCCAUUCCACCCUGGUUCCCUUGCCUUUCUCUGUCCCCUUUGCCUUCCUCUCUGCUUCUCUGUGCAUCUCUCUGUCUCUGCUCCAGUCACUCUCCUCUCUGCCUGUCUCCCUCCUCUUCCUCUUUUUGUAAUCUCUUUCCUAUUCUCUCCCUUCCUCUUGCUUCCCUCGGUUUCCUCCAUGGGUCUUGGACCUAGCAGGUCCCUCUUAUCCCUUCAGCCCUUACCUUCUGCUUGGAUGUUUAUUGAGGAGGAUGCAGGGCCCAGAGAGAGCUCCAGAUAAGAAGGACUGAGCCAAUGACAUCUGUGGAUCUGUCAGAUGGGUACAGCUCUAACUUUGGACACGCAUUUGGUUGAGGGAUCCUUGAAGGUAAAGAUUCACUUGGAGUUGGUCAAGUCGGCAUUUUGGAAACAAUCAAGUAGAUCUGAAGCCUUGUUCCAAGCAGGGAGAUGAGAGUUGGGGAGGGAGAAAACCGGACCAGAGCCCUGCCUUCCAGAACUUCCUGGUCUCAUUAGCCAAGGAGGUAAGGGGCAUACAAGGUCUUCUAGGAAAUAGUAGGGGAACAAAGAUAGGCAGAAGGAGAGGUGCAGGCAGAGAGCUCUAGAAGGGAUCAGUCAUUGUUAACUUUGGGGCGAGCGGUCUGUGUGUGAACAGUAGCAGCCAGAUAGAAGAGGAGAUCCGGGCUCCAGCUGCAAAAGGGGAAAGCAGUUCACCUGUAACUGCAAGGCCACCAGGGCCACCAGGGCCAUGCUUGGCUGGGGAGCCUCUCCUGUCAAACCCUGUCCUGGCUCCAUCCCUGUCCCCACCAGGACCGAGGGAAGAGCCUGAUUCAAAGCCUGCAGAUCCCCCAGAGCACAGAACGAGCUGAAAAUCUUGAUGAGUAAAACCUGCAGCAUCUCACCGCUUGCCCUGCUGCUCGGGAAGUCAUUCACAUUAGCAUGCGAGGCUCUGGGACCUAAGUGGGAGGCAGGAACCAACUGAGGCUUGGAGAGAAAUAAGAUGGUUCAUUUGUGCCCCUGAAGACGCCCCAGGCAGAUGCUGAUCUAUCAGCAUUUAUACUGAAUGCAAUACAGAAUUCCUUUUGUGACCGCUUUUAUAAAUAGAAUUGGCCAGACUCUUUCUGGGAAAUGCCUGGGUGAUUCACGUGACCUUCGAAGAUAGGUGCUUGUUGUUCUGUAACACUGGAGGGGCAGAGAAGGGAGAGGCUCUUUUCCUGAGCCCUGGCAUUUAGAAGUGUGGUUUAGAGAAGAAAAAAAGGAGAGUGGCAGUAAUGAGUAAAGUGAGUAAAUGUUUCCCCAAGAGGAUGAUUCUUGGAGCAAAAAGGGAUCCGAGAGCGGAAGGGGCUGGCAGAGAGGGGUGCAUGGGUGUUUGCUGGAGCACCUCCCAAGUUUCUUCAGGAAGAAUGCUCCUACUUCAUGGUCCUGAUGACUUCUGUCCCUUCUCCCCAACUCGGCACAGCAUACCCACCUACAUGGAGUUUCGUUCAGAUAAGAGUUUCAAGAAAUUGAGUCAUCUCCCUCUGCAAGGGAGACACCCCUACAAGUCGAGAUUCCCUUAUAUAGGAAAUCGUCUUACACAACAGGAGAUCAAAGUAGAUCAAUAUACUCUUGAGCACAUGCAUGAAAGGACCUGUAUGUAGGUCAGGGGUCCCCGACCUCUGGGAUCUAAUGCCUGAUGAUCUGAAGUGGAGCUGAUGUAAAAAUAAUAGAAAUAAAGUGCACACAAAUGCAAUACACUUGAAUCAUCCUGAAACCAUCCCUCUGCCCUGGUCCCUGGAAAAAUUGUCUUCUAUGAAGUCCAUUUCUGGUGCCAAAAAUGUUGGGGACCACUGCAUAGGAGAUGAGCAGUGAAAAUCAGCCUCUGUUUUCAAGGGGGUCUAGUUUGGUUGUAGAAAAAUACAACAGUCAGCGAUAUUAAAUACUUUCCAGGGGCCACAUCCAGUGGGGACUGUGUUCCCUCUGAAUGUAUCAUUUGUAAUAUUUAAAGCCAUCAGAAGUGUUUCCCAGCAAACUUUUAAUUCCUAAGCAGAGUAGACUGGGAAAAUAUUCCUGUCCAGCCUUCCUUCCACCUCCACUUUUACUCGGAUGCUUUUUUUCCUUCUAAAAGUACAAGAGUGCUACCUGUGUGAGCUGGCCAGGUCACUCUGCAAUCAGAGAAUCCGGGGGCUGGCUGGGUCCCAGCAACAUCACGCCCAGAUAUGCAUGCCUUCCUCAUUUUUCCGCCUUUCUUGGGAAGUAGAGGUGAGCUUGCCUGGCAUGACUCAGGCCAAGGAAGUGAAAAGCCCAGACAUGGUGGUUCACCAAUUCCUCCCAAGCUUACUAACCCAGCAGUGUCUGCAGACACUGAGAUCUCAAGGCAGUAACUGGGAGUGUCUGGGGACCAGUUGUCUAAGACCUGAAGGUGACAAAUCCUACCUGAUGAUCUGGUCUUCACUGCAAAGUGCCAAUGGCAUUUUUUUCUUCUUUUUCCUUCUUUAACUUUUUAGGGAAUUUUUCAGCAGGGUUAUAGAAAAUGGACUCCUCGAUACUCUUCCCAAGCUCAGAUUCAAAUCAGGAUUUUUCCACACCCUCCCAGUUCCCUGCGUGAUAAUAAAUUAUGCAUAAUAAAUAAAUGCUAUGACCAAAUAUUAUUAUAUCAUGGAUCAGUGUUCAGAGUGGGCCUUGUAGAAACAGCACAUAAAAGAGCCCUGGACAUCCUGGUUGCCAUUCUGGGCACACGGCAAUAUUCAGUUUAGGCCUUGGCCUUCUGCCCUGGAGGGAGGCUGGGCUCUAAGUUUCCCUGUUGUGAAGAUGAUCCCAGAGUCCUCACACAAGGGCCCUACAUCCACUCAUGAACCUGCAUGCAGACUGCUCCUGUAAUGGAGAUGAAUGAGAUGUUGGGAUGCCUCAACUAUUGUUCAUUGGUGGCUUCCGUUGGACAGAAAGUCCAAGAGCCAUUCUCUCUCAAGUGGGUGUCUCUGGAAAGCUGCUUCCAAACUUCCCUGGAGUGAGGGAACUCCACUGAGUUUAAUGUUUACUGAGAACCUACUUGUACCAAGCCUGUGCCAGGCACCUUAGGAAAAGGAUAACUGUGCCACGGUUUCUGUUAUUGGUGGCCUCAGAUGACAUGCAGCCCGCAGAGGUCAUUAUUGACCCAAAGACACAAUAACCCAAACCCACUGCUCGAAAAAAGUCUUCACCCGGGUCUGCUCUUGGAUUUGGGCUUGAUGAGGUCCUAAAGGAGACACUUUUUCUCUGAUGUUCCCUCUUUCUAACACUUUCUACCCAUUGUGGAUUUAAAUGGGCUCAUGAUGAAGGGGAUAAAAUUCCAAGUGCAUGGACCAGACAGGGUGCUGUGUAGACAGAUGCUCCGUUCCCACUGGGGACCUCUAGGAGACGGUCUAGACCUGUCCUGGUGUUGACUCCCCCUAGCCUGGGUGAGGAAGCUGAAGGACCCGUCGGUCAAUUCCCUCUGCCACUCACUGGUGGAGACUUACCAGCCCCUGGUAAGUCUGCCCCACCUGUAGGCCAGAGCUCCCACAGACAGAGAGAUCCAGAGUUGCAGAAUGUGCAGGGGUACGGAAAGGGGAGUGGGAGUGGAGCUGGACAAGGCCUCAUAGCUUCUGUCUGCCUUGUCCCCUGCAGCCCCAGCUGAGCAGGGGUGUGCACACUCAGAGGAAAGCCAGCAGGAUGCGUGGGAAUGGUGAAAUGGAUACCCAGCCCCCAGGAGAGGAAUGUAACCCCAGGGGUGUGGGCCUCUGUCUCCACCAGGCAGUAGGGGGGUGGGAGCCAGGGGAAUGGAGGUGUUGUUUCAUACAGCUCUCCCUGGAGAGCAGUUUCCUUCUGAAAACACACAAGGGCUCAGGGAAACAGGUUUGAAUUAACCUUACACAUGGAGCCUUCACAGCCUGAGGAUGGGCUCAGCGUGUCCCCUGUACAAUUUCCACAGCAUCUUCCCAUGUAAGGGGCAGGCCCUGGGGAGAAAUGUCUUGUGAUUCUUGUUUUCCAUCCUCACAUAAAUGUUCUCUGAGAUCAGGAUCUGACCUCAGGCUUUCUUGAACCUGCUCCAUAUUCCAAGUAUCAAGGAGGGGCCGGGGUUCACACCUACCUGGCAGGUGGAAGUUUCUGUGACCUAGAAAUGGGUCUGUGUGAGGCCCGUUUGGCUCUAAUGAGCCAGCCUUCUGGGAACGUCAUGAGCCUUUCUGCUUGUCCCACGCCACCAGGCUCCAUGGGGCCUAGGAAACCCCUGAGACUGCAAUGGGGCUGAGACUUGGCCCAGCUUCACAUUGGAAGUGAUGCUGCCUGGAUUCUGGGUGCCAAGGCACUUGUUAGUAUUUCUGAGCUGUUCAUUAGCACUGGGGGAGAUCAGCCCAAACUCUGGUGGGAAGGAAGGGCUGGGGAAGGAGUCUGCCUUCACCCUGAGUGUGUGUUCGUCUAAACAUUUGGCCUGCGGUCAGCCGCCCUCCAGUUGGUGGAGUCUAUGAUGCUGCUCAGCAUGACCUGGGGCUGCUGGGUCACAGUAGCCUAGGGUAGAAGUGGCCUUAGGACGAGCAGGCAGCCAUCGCCUCCCCACUUCUCCCAGGUUCUGAAUGCAGCAAAGAGAACUUCCCAGUGUAAACCCCCUUCAUCCCACACUAGAACAGACUGAAGCUCCCUGAGGUGUACCGUCAGCCCCCUCUUUUCAACAGCAUCAUAGCUGAACUGUCUAAUCAGGAGACAGUGGAGGGCAGGAAAGGGUACAUAUCCCUUCCUGACCUAGCACUCACUCUGCGUUGGGCUCCCCUCCUGAGCAGGCAGAGCCCAGGGACUUUUCUGAGGUGAGUCUCCUCGAGCUUGGAGAUAGGGAGUGGGUACUUCCAGCCUGGCCUGUGGAGCCCAUGGUGCUCCUCCUCACUGGUCUUUUGCAGGUCAACGAAGGGUCAUUCUCCAAAGAUCCUGCCUGAGAAGAAAGCAGUUAAGCUAGACCCCAAGUCCUGUAUCAGAUCAAGGGGUCCACACUCGCCUCAACGGAGCCAGUUUCUUCCUCCUCUGUGGGGAGCUCAGGCCUCUCAGCCUGCUUGGACUGCCUGCCAGCAGUUGGCUUUUAAGGGGUUGAGAACCUUCUGGAGAACCUGUUCCAAGGAGAGAGCCAGGGAGAGUGAGCCACACCUGGAACACAGCUUCAGGUGUUGGAGAUCGGGUGUGGUUCCUACUUCAGCCCAGUGGAAUCUAACCUCAGCCUGGCCCCUUGGAUGUAUUAUCUGGGUCACAGGAAGAGGAAGGGCAUUAUUAUUUUAAUUCCAGUUUUGUUUCACUCACUUAGUGGCUUUGGGCAAGCUACCUAAGCCCCCCUGUGCUGGGCUCCUUGGCUGUCCACUGGUGAUAUGUAGUUCCUGGCUCAGAGGUUGCUAUGAAGUCAAAUGAGUGAAGGCUUUCAUACUGCUUAGAACACCGUACAUGUCAAGUGUUUGUCAAAGUGAGGAAACCCAAGGGCACAAGAGCACUACUUGGGGACCCUUAAGCUUGGGGCGCAUGGAGGGGAAAGGACCACGUCCUUUCCACAGACCACCUGAGGCUCCAGCUUAGCAGAGAGCAGGGCAUAGCACAGUGACUGCUGCGCCCAGGGAUCUCCACAGGCAGGCGGGGGUUGUCUCGGGAUGCAGAGGCCUCUGGGACUGGGCGGUGGGUGCCGGGAGAGAGCGUUGUACGGGAGGAUAAGAGGCAGGUACAAGUGGAUUCACAUUACCAUUAAUGUGGCUUCACCUACACUCACAGUGCUGACUGGUAAGGCACCGGUAUAAGCCCCAGCAGGGCUCCUCCCAGAGUCAAAGUCAGUUUCUUAGCAGCUGGAAGUGUGGAGAAGGUAAGGGCUGUGUCCUGGGAGGUGCCUAGAGCUCAAAGGUCUGGUUUCUCCCCACCAGCUGUUCUUUCAUAUUUAGAAAAACUCUCCAGUUCUUUCCCAUUUCUACUUUGAUAGGGCUGGGUUUUUUCAUCUCAUUACACCCAAAACCUAAAGACUUUGCUCACAGAGAACUUUGUUUCAAGUCCUCUGUCUUAGUAUUAGGGUGGUUGUUAAAAUUAACCCAGGCUUCUAGAAAAGGCAUCACCAAAAGAUGGGAGUUUUUGAAAAGCUGCUGGUUUGGAAAGUUGAAUGGGAAAGGGAGGUCCACACUAUACUUGACAACAUGAGCCUUGGGAACCUCCUUCUAAGGAAGGGCCAGACCGCUCACUCAAGGCUUCAUAAGAGGCUUCAGAACUGGCCCUGCCAGCUCCGCCAACCUCUCUGGGCUCUCCUGUACAUCGUAAGUGGAAAACCAGGGGAAGGAGGGAGAGGACAAGUUUUCACCAGGGUAGUGUUCAUGGGAAAAUGUUACUUCCUCCCCAAAGCUACAUGGAAAGUUGGAUGUGCUGGAAGACUGAGGGGGCCAUCGGAGUGAAGCAGAAUGUCGUGAGACUGAGGAAUUUCUUGAGGGGGCCAGCACAUGUCCCUGGAGUGUGGAGACCAAAAACUGAAGGUUUCUGCAGGCAGAGGCCUGCAGGCUCAGCUUGGGUAGAGGUGGGAGGGGCCUGUCUGGUAGCUGCUUGGCCAUGAGCCAAUAGGCCAAGUGAGCACAGUAAAGGCACAGAACAAUGUUAGCCAAAAGGAAAUACAGCUGCUCCAAGGGGGAACUCAGUCCACAGAUGUGGCUGGAAUAGGCCAGAGAAAAUCUUACCCCCACCCAUGCUGAGAUCAGAGCACCAGCCAAAAUAUCCAGUAUCAUGUGGACCGUGACUAAGCCAAGAUGAGACUAGCAACAUUUUCCCAGCACAGACAGGUGACCUGUCAUUUUAGAUUGCCCUGAUUCCCUGUUCCUCCUCUUCCCUGUACCCCUCUAGCUUAUAGCAACUUGACCCUGAAAGGGAUGGUGAAGAAAGAGAGGACGUACCACACACCAAACUACUUCAAGUCCUGAGCUGAAGCCUGACUUCCCCAUCGAGACAGGAAAGGGGAGAUUUAAACUCAUCUGAGGUUGGAGUUUUGACCCAGACUGUGUUAGCUACUGAGUGUGAUCAGUGGGUUAUGGAACCUCCAUCAAUACAGGAUGGGUAGAGAUGGGGACUGGAGAAAAGAACACCUUCUGAGACUCGCUCUCCACUUAGUUGAGAUUCCUCGCUGUUUUUGCAGCCAGGAAUUCUAGGAACUUUAAGAAUAUAUUUUCUUCUUGAAACACAAGAUCUGGAGAAACCUAGAAAAUGAAGCAAGAGUGAUCUCCUUGUUUGAAGCAGAGAUCUGAAAACUCUGAAGCAUUCAUCAAUGCUUAGAGAGCUGUUUCUUGAAGAUUUGUAACUACACAGUGUAUUAGUUUCCUCUGGCUGCUGCAACUAAUUACCACAGUCUUGAUGCUAGCCUAGGGUGAUCCAUGUCAGACCUCUUACCUACAGAACUUCAGGAUGAUAAAGCUGUGCUGUGUCAACCUCUAUGCACGCAUGCUAAGUCAUUUCAGUUGUGUCUGACUCUCUGUGACCCUAUGGACCAUAGCCCACCAGGCUCCUCUGUCCAUGGGAUUCUUAUGGCAACCCACUCCAGUAUUCUUGCCUGGAGA